CUCGUACAGAGCUGCUCUGACUGGCUGUCUGCAGGCCAGCUCUGGUUCUGGAUCUCUCUCCACACUGGGGACAGGAGGGGUCUCCUGAUGGAGGUCUCUGCUCCCAGUAUGAGGUGAUGCACUGUCUGCAGAACCAGUGUCCACAGCUGGUAGAGACUGGAUCCUUCAGGACGUCCUGACACAGAGCACAGCUGGACAGCUGCUCCUCCACAGGAACACCACUCUUCCUCUUCCCUCUGUGGAGAGGAACACAUCCUUUACAGCACUUUACUUUAUGUUAUCAUAAAACCAAAGAGCAUCCUGUCUGGAUUCAUGACAUCCCCCAGAGGAACACAAGUUCACUGCAUCUACUAAGACACUCAGCUGUAUUAACCUGGUGCUUUAUAAACCCAACUUGCAGAGAAUCUGCUGUGAAUUCAUAGCAAUAAACAUCUGGAAAGGAUGCUGAAAU